GAUGAACGCUAGCUACAGGCUUAACACAUGCAAGUCGAGGGGAAACGAUAGAGAAAGCUUGCUUUUUCUAGGCGUCGACCGGCGCACGGGUGAGUAACGCGUAUCCAACCUGCCCACCACUUGGGGAUAACCUUGCGAAAGUAAGACUAAUACCCAAUGAUAUCUCAAGAAGACAUCUGAAUGAGAUUAAAGAUUUAUCGGUGAUGGAUGGGGAUGCGUCUGAUUAGCCUGUUGGCGGGGUAACGGCCCACCAAGGCGACGAUCAGUAGGGGGUCGGAGAGGAAAGUACCCACCAAUGGAACUGAGACACGGUCCAAACUCCUACGGGAGGCAGCAGUGAGGAAUAUUGGUCAAUGGACGAGAGCCUGAACCAGCCAAGUAGCGUGCAGGAUGACGGCCCUAUGGGUUGUAAACUGCUUUUAUAAGGGAAUAAAGUGAGUCUCGUGAGGCUUUUUGCAUGUACCUUAGGAAUAAGGACCGGCUAAUUCCGUGCCAGCCGCCGCCGUAA
rnacentral:rRNA from 1 species